CCCUUAGAUGUCCUGGGCUGCACGCGCGCUACGCUGACGAACUCAACGAGCUUAUCACCUUGGCAGAGAUGUCUGGGUAAUCUUUUGAAAGUUCGUCGUGCUGGGGAUAGAUGAUUGUAAUUAUUCGUCUUGAACGAGGAAUUCCUAGUAAGUGUGAGUCAUCAGCUCGCGCUGAUUACGUCCCUGCCCUUUGUACACACCGCCCGUCGCUCCUACCGAUUGAAUGGUCCGGUGAGGUUCUCGGAUUUUUUCUGUUGUUUGGUUCGCUAAACGAUUGAAGAGAGAAGUUACCCAAACCUUACCAUUUAGAGGAAGGAGAAGUCGUAACA
rnacentral:rRNA from 1 species